UACAGAGGGGGCAAGCGUUAUUCGGAAUUAUUGGGCGUAAAGGGCGCGUAGGCGGCCUGGCAAGUGGAAGGUGAAAUCCCUCGGCUUAACCGAGGAACUGCCCUCCAAACUGCUUGGCUUGAGACCGGGAGAGGUGAGUGGAAUUCCCAGUGUAGCGGUGAAAUGCGUAGAUAUUGGGAGGAACACCAGUGGCGAAGGCGGCUCACUGGACCGGUACUGACGCUGAGGCGCGAAAGCUAGGGUAGCGAACGGG
rnacentral:rRNA from 1 species